UACGUAGGGUGCAAGCGUUAAUCGGAAUUACUGGGCGUAAAGCGUGCGCAGGCGGUUUUGUAAGACUGUCGUGAAAUCCCCCGGGCUCAACCUGGGAAUGGCGAUGGUGACUGCAAGGCUAGAGUUUGGCAGAGGGGGGUAGAAUUCCGACGUGUAGCAGUGAAAUGCGUAGAUAUGUGGAGGAACACCGAUGGCGAAGGCAGCUCGCUGGGACGGUAUUGACGCUAAGGCGCGAAAGCGUGGGGAGCAAACAGG
rnacentral:rRNA from 1 species